UACGUAGGGUGCAAGCGUUGUCCGGAUUUACUGGGCGUAAAGAGCGUGUAGGCGGCCAAACAGGUCCGUUGUGAAAACUGGAGGCUUAACCUCCAGACGUCGACGGAAACCGUAUGGCUAGAGUCCGGAAGAGGAGAGUGGAAUUCCUGGUGUAGCGGUGAAAUGCGCAGAUAUCAGGAAGAACACCAAUGGCGAAGGCAGCUCUCUGGGACGGUACUGACGCUGAGACGCGAAAGCGUGGGGAGCGAACAGG
rnacentral:rRNA from 1 species